rnacentral:rRNA from 1 species
UACGAAGGGGGCUAGCGUUGUUCGGAUUUACUGGGCGUAAAGCGCACGUAGGCGGAUCGUUAAGUCAGGGGUGAAAUCCUGGAGCUCAACUCCAGAACUGCCUUUGAUACUGGCGAUCUUGAGUUCGGGAGAGGUGAGUGGAACUGCGAGUGUAGAGGUGAAAUUCGUAGAUAUUCGCAAGAACACCAGUGGCGAAGGCGGCUCACUGGCCCGGAUACUGACGCUGAGGCACGAAAGCGUGGGGAGCAAACAGG